UAUCAAAGGCAAGGAGAAAGCCACACUUCCCUGUGGCUGCCAUGGUAGCAAGAAUGCUGGAGAUGAAGAUGUCUCCAGGGACAAAGAAAACCUUUGGGGACCUCACUUGCCCCUUUAACCCAGACAUUAUGCCACCACUGCCAAUCUCAGGGGAGCUAGGCUUUAGUAAUAAAGAAUGCCUGUCAAAUAGAACAUGCAGGGACCCUGAGCAACCAGGACUGUUGGCAUGACAAGCCGCAAGCAGAGGAUGGGGGAGCCAGAGAGAAGGUGCUAAAAGGAAGAGCUGAAAACAAGCUUGACCCAUCACUCAAAGUUGUCUAAUAGUCCUUGAAUCCAGAUGCCUCAUGGCCCUAGGAGGGCCAAACACACUCGGGGGUGAGAGAUUGACUUUAAACUAUUUGGUGCUGUACCCAUUUUGCUUUGUAUAGAUAACAGUUGAUCAUUGCUACACAACAGUCAGUAGUCUGCUCAUAAGUAAUAUCACAAUUAUUCUUCAGAUUUAGUAAAAGCUGGCUUGAGAACUGUGUCAGGAGUAAGUUCGGCAGGGGAAUGGUAGAGAUGAAGAGGCUUAAAGAACAGUUUGUUUCUCUCUCAUAGAAUAGUCCAGGUAGCUCCAGGUAGCUCACACUCUAUGUAGGGCCAGAAGCCAUUUUCCUCUGCCCCACUUCCCCAGGGGCCAGCCAGAGUCAGACCCAUUUUUCCCGUUCAAAUUCCCCAAACACAAAAGUUGUCCCUUGAGUUACAAAGAAUUCUGUUUAUCUUUCCUGGGCCAAAGUACUGGUCGCCCACUGACAAGAGAUGAAUCAUUAUUCAGGAGAAUAGAAGAUUCUUUCCCCCUGCCAAGAGAGGUGACUUCCUAGGAAUGAG
rnacentral:lncRNA from 1 species